UACGUAGGGGGCUAGCGUUGUCCGGAUUUAUUGGGCGUAAAGAGCGUGUAGGCGGCCACGCAGGUCCGUCGUGAAAACUGGAGGCUCAACCUUCAGACGUCGACGGAAACCGUAUGGCUAGAGUCCGGAAGAGGAGAGUGGAAUUCCUGGUGUAGCGGUGGAAAUGCGCAGAUAUCAGGAAGAACACCAAUGGCGAAGGCAGCUCUCUGGGACGGUACUGACGCUGAGACGCGAAAGCGUGGGGGAGCGAACAGG
rnacentral:rRNA from 1 species